UACGUAGGGUGCAAGCGUUAAUCGGAAUUAUUGGGCGUAAAGCGCGCGCAGGCGGUCUCUUAAGUCUGAUGUGAAAGGCCACGGCUCAACCGUGGAGGGUCAUUGGAAACUGGGGGACUUGAGGGCAGGAGAGGGGAGCGGAAUUCCACGUGUAGCGGUGAAAUGCGUAGAGAUGUGGAGGAACACCAGUGGCGAAGGCGGCUCUCUGGCCUGCACCUGACGCUGAGGCGCGAAAGCGUGGGGAGCCAACAGG
rnacentral:rRNA from 1 species